UAAAUCUUGCAGGUGUCGGAGAAAUUG
rnacentral:sRNA from 1 species